UGGGGAAUAUUGGACAAUGGGGGGAACCCUGAUCCAGCCAUGCCGCGUGUGUGAAGAAGGCCUUAUGGUUGUAAAGCACUUUAAGCGAGGAGGAGGCUACUGAGACUAAUACUCUUGGAUAGUGGACGUUACUCGCAGAAUAAGCACCGGCUAACUCUGUGCCAGCAGCCGCGGUAAUACAGAGGGUGCGAGCGUUAAUCGGAUUUACUGGGCGUAAAGCGUGCGUAGGCGGCUUUUUAAGUCGGAUGUGAAAUCCCCGAGCUUAACUUGGGAAUUGCAUUCGAUACUGGGAAGCUAGAGUAUGGGAGAGGAUGGUAGAAUUCCAGGUGUAGCGGUGAAAUGCGUAGAGAUCUGGAGGAAUACCGAUGGCGAAGGCAGCCAUCUGGCCUAAUACUGACGCUGAGGUACGAAAGCAUGGGGAGCAAACAGGAUUAGAUACCCUGGUAGUCCAUGCCGUAAACGAUGUCUACUAGCCGUUGGGGCCUUUGAGGCUUUAGUGGCGCAGCUAACGCGAUAAGUAGACCGCCUGGGGAGUACGGUCGCAAGACUAA
rnacentral:rRNA from 1 species